GAAUACAUCGGAACGUGUCUAUAAGUGGGGAACAACUAAUCGAAAGGUUAGCUAAUACCGCAUACGACCUACGGGUGAAAGCAGGGGAUCUUCGGACCUUGCGUUACUAGAGCGGCCGAUAUCUGAUUAGGUAGUUGGUAGGGUAAAGGCCUACCAAGCCGACGAUCAGUAGCUGGUCUGAGAGGACGAUCAGCCACACUGGAACUGAGACACGGUCCGGACUCC
rnacentral:rRNA from 1 species